rnacentral:lncRNA from 1 species
UUGGCCUCCUCGUCGUCGUCGGUGGAGAGGUUGAUGCAGGAGUAGCGCUCAAGGGAGGUGAAGAAGGUGGAGGCGACGCUGGUGCCAACCUAGGUGGCUUAGCUCUUCAUGGCCACCGGCGAUCUGCUUGCUAGGGUUCGGCCGCGGUAGGGAGGAGACCAGAGAAGAAGGGGAGGAGGGGGACUCGGUUUAGUUGGUUCGACUCCGCCCGCCCGCUGGCGGCGAGCGCUGCCCGCCCGCCGCCGGCCCGGCCUCCGCCUCCCCUGCGCACCGCUGCCCGUGCCCGUUGCCCAUCCCGCUCCGCUGGCCGUAUUGUGUACUGUUCAUUUUCUCGGCUAUAACUGGAACUGAACCGAAAGUACCGCAACCAAAUUUACUCUGUUCUCAUUUCUGAAAAGAACUGAUCGGUUCCUGUUCAGUUAGAGCAGCUAGUGUUCAAAUCAGCUUUCCGUGUGGUUGCAGGCUUCUUACACCGGAGAUAAUUUUUUAGUUUCAAGUCAGCCACUAGAUGUCAUUGAAAUCCGACAGAUACUCGUAUACUGAGUAGCUUCCUUUUUCAAUCGAUUUUUUUCAUCUUGUCCUGCACCACAUUAUUUGGACUGAUUUUGCUGCGCCAACGACCGUUUCCUGACCCCUACGCCCUUGGUGGUGACAGCGAGCGGAGCGGAUGGUGCCGGACCGGGAGCCAGCAAGAGUAGUACUACAAACUCCGUGCCAGAACAAUUCAAAUUCAAUCCACAGAAUUAAUAGUGUCCGUGAUAAAUCUCUUUGUAAAACAUAUUUUUGGAAUGUACUCCCUCGGUCCAUUUAUUGGAAUCGUUUUAGCUAUGUGCGCAGUGACCAAGGGGGGCUGGUGGAACCCGUUUUGCCAUUAAAUCGGUGCUUUUCUUUAACUCCGCAUGCGUCUGUUGAGUUACCG